UACGGAGGGUGCAAGCGUUAAUCGGAAUUACUGGGCGUAAAGCGCGCGUAGGCGGUUUUUUAAGUCAGAGGUGAAAGCCCAGUGCUCAACACUGGAACUGCCUUUGAAACUGGAAAACUUGAAUCUUGGAGAGGUCAGUGGAAUUCCGAGUGUAGAGGUGAAAUUCGUAGAUAUUCGGAAGAACACCAGUGGCGAAGGCGACUGACUGGACAAGUAUUGACGCUGAGGUGCGAAAGCGUGGGGAGCAAACAGG
rnacentral:rRNA from 1 species